CAAUAGCGUAUAUUUAAGUUGUUGCAGUUAAAAAGCUCGUAGUUGGAUUUCGGGUGGGACGCAGCGGUCUCGCAUUGCGUUUGUACUGCUGCAGCCCUCCUUCUUGCCGGGGGCGGCCUCUCGGACUUCACUGUCUGGGGGUCAGAAUCGACGAGGUUACUUUGAGUAAAUUAGAGUGUUCAAAGCAAGCCUUCGCUCUGAAUAUAAUAGCAUGGGAUAACACGACAGGACUCUGGCCUAUCGUGUUGGUCUGUAGGACCGGAGUAAUGAUUAAGAGGAACAGUCGGGGGCAUUCGUAUUCCAUUGUCAGAGGUGAAAUUCUUAGAUUUAUGGAAGACGAACAUCUGCGAAAGCAUUUGCCAAGGAUGUUUUCAUUG
rnacentral:rRNA from 1 species